CCUACGGGAGGCAGCAGUAGGGAAUCUUCCGCACAUGGCACGAAACCGUCUGACGGAGCAACGCUCGCGAUGAAAUCGAUUCCCGAAGGCCUUCGGGUCGUAAAGUUCUGUUGUUAGGGAAGAACAAGUGCUAGUUGAAUAAGCUGGCACCUUGACGGUACCUAACCAGAAAGCCACGGCUAACUACGUGCCAGCAGCCGCGGUAAUACGUAGGUGGCAAGCGUUGUCCGGAAUUAUUGGGCGUAAAGCGCGCGCAGGCGGUUUCUUAAGUCUGAUGUGAAAGCCCCCGGCUCAACCGGGGAGGGUCAUUGGAAACUGGGAAACUUGAGUGCAGAAGAGGAAAGUGGAAUUCCAAGUGUAGCGGUGAAAUGCGUAGAGAUUUGGAGGAACACCAGUGGCGAAGGCGACUUUCUGGUCUGUAACUGACGCUGAGCGCGAAGCGUGGGAGCAACAGGAUUAGAUACCCUGGUAGUCCACGCUGUAAACGAUGAGUGCUAAGUGUUAGAGGGUUUCCGCCCUUUAGUGCUGAAGUUAACGCAUUAAGCACUCCGCCUGGGGAGUACGGUCGCAAGACUGAAACUCAAAGGAAUGACGGGGGCCCGCACAAGUGGUGGAGCAUGUGGUUUAAUUCGAAGCAACGCGAAGAACCUUAC
rnacentral:rRNA from 1 species